UUUCUUUUUGCAGGAAUCAAGGCCCUAACAUCCAGAACCUCAGCAGUCUCUCUGGCUGCCAUCCACAUCAUCUGCCCAGACACAAAGAGAGCGGGACAGGACCACAGCGUGGCCAGCUCGUGACCCAGCUACAGCCUUGGGUCUGUACUCUCCCUGCAGUCAGAGGAUGGGGACAGGUGGCACACUGCUGGCCUGAGCACAACAGGAGUCCGUUUGCUUGGGGACAUUUCUUGGAAAUAAAAAACUUGAAAACCACCCCUGACAACAUGUUAGUCCCUGGAAGUACUCAAUUACGGUGAAAAGCCAUCGGCAAAAGUUAAAGUGAGUAAUAUGACAGUGAGCCAUGUAAGAAGUAAAGGUGAGUGGAAGAUUAUGAACUACAUAAAAGGCACAAUGAUCUGAGUCUAGAAAGGCAAUCUGGAAGCCUGAAAAGGUACAAAUGGGUGCAAUUCUCUUAGAAAGUAAUGGGCAAGUAAAUGUCAAAAGCGUUUAAA